AUAUUUGCGCUUGGGGCAAUGACACGGCUAGUGAGGUUAUACCGAGGUGCAUCAAUUUUUGGUUGAAAACUAUUUCCAAACCCCCUCUGUGGCCCUCCGGUGCCAUUGAAAUUUUUUGGAAGGGCUCCCUCGUCCUCGGGCGAGGUGAAAGCC